rnacentral:rRNA from 1 species
AUUGAACGCUGGCGGCAUGCCUUACACAUGCAAGUCGAACGGCAGCACGGGUGCUUGCACCUGGUGGCGAGUGGCGAACGGGUGAGUAAUAUAUCGGAACGUACCUUAUUGUGGGGGAUAACGCAGCGAAAGCUGUGCUAAUACCGCAUAAUCCCUAAGGGGGAAAGCGGGGGACCGUAAGGCCUCGCGCAAUUAGAGCGGCCGAUGCCUGAUUAGCUAGUUGGUGAGGUAAAGGCUCACCAAGGCAACGAUCAGUAGCUGGUCUGAGAGGACGAUCAGCCACACUGGGACUGAGACACGGCCCAGACUCCUACGGGAGGCAGCAGUGGGGAAUUUUGGACAAUGGGGGCAACCCUGAUCCAGCAAUGCCGCGUGAGUGAGGAAGGCCUUCGGGUUGUAAAGCUCUUUUGUCAGGGAAGAAACAGCAGCUCUAACACAGUUUGCGAAUGACGGUACCUGAAGAAUAAGCACCGGCUAACUACGUGCCAGCAGCCGCAGUAA